AAGGGAGACCUAAUUCAGGUAUGGGACGAAAAAAAAGUAGUCGCUACCAAGAAUCAAUCCCAAAAGGUCGGAGCGAGGCGAAAUUGGCUUUCAAACUAGGUUCUGGGUUCACACAAGACCUGAAUCAGGAACAAGGGCUAUUAGCUCAGGUGGUUAGAGCGCACCCCUGAUAAGGGUGAGGUCCCUGGUUCGAGUCCAGGAUGGCCCACCUGCACAGGUGGCAAAAACAAGAGAAGCUCCGAAUCAGCACCUUAUCUUACUUAUAUAGUAAGAGAGAAUGCUGGCUCUGAGUUCAGAGUCCAGAGGAACCUUGAAAACUGCAUGGAGCUAGGUGAAAAAGCCAAAAAAGAAGACCGCAA
rnacentral:tRNA from 1 species